rnacentral:rRNA from 1 species
GUGCCAGCAGCCGCGGUAAUACAGAGGUCCCGAGCGUUGUUCGGAUUCAUUGGGCGUAAAGGGUGCGUAGGCGGCGAGCUAAGUUUGGUGUGAAAUCCUGGGGCUUAACCUCAGAAUUGCACUGAAUACUGGUUUGCUAGAGGACUGGAGAGGAGAUUGGAAUUCACGGUGUAGCAGUGAAAUGCGUAGAUAUCGUGAGGAAGACCAGUGGCGAAAGCGAAUCUCUGGACAGUUCCUGACGCUGAUGCACGAAGGCUAGGGGAGCAAACGGGAUUAGAAACCCGAGUAGUCC